rfam:Tupaia chinensis contig101048, whole genome shotgun sequence.
GUGCUCGCUUCGGCAGCACAUAUAUUAAAUUUGGAAUGAUACAGAGAUUAGCAUGGCCCCUGUGCAAGGACAACAUGCAAACUCAUGAAGUGUUCCAUAGUUGU